CCAGCUGAGAUUACUCAUCAAUAAUUUCCACGCAUUCAUUCGUGGUCACAUGAGCAGCGGCAAACCUCCCCCACUAAAGUUUUAGUUUAUUGCGGGAUAAUGCCUCCCGGACGCGGCGGACGAAACGGCGCGGCGAUCCCGAAAGACUUCGCAUUCAAGAACAUGCUAUUUUUUUGUCAUUUUAACACGUAUUCGGCUUUCGCGAACAAUAUCGUUCGUAAUGUAUGCUUUUAUUUGGCGGGUUAGAGCGCGUAAAUAUUAACGAAACGCGAGGAUUUCUCUCACGGCUGCCUGUCUGCCUGAUGAUGCUAGUUGCGAUUGAAACGUCGUACUCCGAUUGUAAACGUUGUGGAUUUGCUCUCUAAAACACAGGUGUGCUGUACUAGUAACGGCGUUUUCUAUUUGCGUGACCAAACCUUGCUAAUUUGGCUGUCGGGUGGUGGCGGGUUUAACCACGCGUUUUACGCGAUUAUGACCUAAACCUACGAGACCAUUUAUCGUCGCCAUCCUCGGCAGCAGCCGGAGACUCCCGGAAAGCCUUCGAAGAAGCUGCGAUGUCCAAGCCAGGAGAUGGAAACCGAUGGGAGAUCCGUCCAAUUGCUGCGCCGCCUUCCCCUGGCGAGCCAGGGGUUACGAUGGCACCUCCUCGAAUGCCCCACGAUGCUCGAAAGUGGAUCGUUUCAUCUCCAGGGCAGUGAGCGACGGGGCCACUGUUUUUCCUUGGGGGGGG